rnacentral:rRNA from 1 species
ACUCAAAUGAAUUGACGGGGGCCCGCACAAGCAGCGGAGCGUGUGGUUUAAUUCGAUGAUACGCGAAGAACCUCACCCAGGUUUGACAUGCAUGUGGUACUGAUGUGAAAGCUGAGGGACCCUUCGGGGAGCAUGCACAGGUGUUGCACGGCCGUCGUCAGCUCGUGCCGUGAGGUGUUGGGUUAAGUCCCGCAACGAGCGCAACCCCUGUCGCCAGUUGUAUUUUUCUGGCGAGACUGCCGAGAAAACCUCGGAGGAAGGAGGGGACGAUGUCAGGUCAGCGUGGCCCUUACGCCUGGGGCUACACACACGCUACAAUGGGCAGUACAACGGGUCGCGAAGCCGCGAGGUGGAGCCAAUCCCAUCAAAGCUGUCCUCAGUUCGGAUUGCAGGCUGAAACCCGCCUGCAUGAAGCCGGAGUUGCUAGUAACCGCAGGUCAGCAUUACUGCGGUGAAUACGUUCCCGGGCCUUGUACACACCGCCCGU